rnacentral:rRNA from 1 species
GUGGGGUAACCCGCAAGGGAGCCAGCCGCCGAAGGUGGGGUAGAUGAUUGGGGUGAAGUCGUAACAAGGUAGCCGUAUCGGAAGGUGCGGCUGGAUCACCUCCUUUCUAUGGAGA